rnacentral:pre_miRNA from 1 species
UGAAUGUCGGCCAGCCUCUCCGCUUGGUACAAACGAAAUAUAAAGCGGUAGUUGCCCGACAGCCA